AGUGGCGAACGGGUGAGUAACACGUGGGCAAUCUGCCCUGCACUCUGGGACAAGCCCUGGAAACGGGGUCUAAUACCGGAUAUGACCCUCGCAGGCAUCUGUGAGGGUGUAAAGCUCCGGCGGUGCAGGAUGAGCCCGCGGCCUAUCAGCUUGUUGGUGAGGUAACGGCUCACCAAGGCGACGACGGGUAGCCGGCCUGAGAGGGCGACCGGCCACACUGGGACUGAGACACGGCCCAGACUCCUACGGGAGGCAGCAGUGGGGAAUAUUGCACAAUGGGCGAAAGCCUGAUGCAGCGACGCCGCGUGAGGGAUGACGGCCUUCGGGUUGUAAACCUCUUUCAGCAGGGAAGAAGCGAGAGUGACGGUACCUGCAGAAGAAGCGCCGGCUAACUACGUGCCAGCAGCCGCGGUAAUACGUAGGGCGCAAGCGUUGUCCGGAAUUAUUGGGCGUAAAGAGCUCGUAGGCGGCUUGUCACGUCGGUUGUGAAAGCCCGGGGCUUAACCCCGGGUCUGCAGUCGAUACGGGCAGGCUAGAGUUCGGUAGGGGAGAUCGGAAUUCCUGGUGUAGCGGUGAAAUGCGCAGAUAUCAGGAGGAACA
rnacentral:rRNA from 1 species